AUCUGCCCCCCGCGGGCACAGAAAUGGGGGGGGGGGGUUACCCUUCGGCCUCACGGGCAGUGUCUGAGCGGGACACGGGGCGUGGGGCUCACGGGAGCACCCUGGGGGCUCCGCAGAGCACAGGUGGGACCCCCCAGUACCACUCGUGGGCAGCUCCCGUGCGCUCUGCCGCACCGUGCCGGGGCUGGGGGUGUGGGAGCAGCUCCCCCACGCGUGGGCACAGAGCCAGCAGCAGCACCGGGGCAGAGCCGGCCUGAGGGUCCCGUCCUGUCCCAUCCCGUCCCUUCCCUUGGGCACGAGGCAGCCGGAGCGGGGUCGUGCUGCUGUGGCAUGUGAGCAGCGGGCUGACAGCCUGCGGUGCUGCUCACGCUUGGGCAAUAUCCGGGCGUUCCCGUGGCUGCCAGCGAAGGCAUCCCAGGCUGGGUGGGGAAGGGAAGCCCAGCGCUGUCACUGGCUCCUGCGAGCACUCAGGUGCUAAUUAGCACCACGUUGGCAAAGCCAGCACGUGCUCGGGAUUAUGUGAGACGUGAGCCAGACGGAAAGCUAGCUCCUGGCUGGGCCACCCUCACGCUGCCUACGAGCUCUGUUUUAUAUAACUGGGAGAUAAUUAGCUAUCUGCAUCACAAGUGCAAGGCCAGAGACAGCUCAGUGAGACACCAGCCCCGGGGCAGACCGCCUGCUGCGUGUGGGCACCCACCGCCUCUCCCACUGGCCCAGAGUUCAGCCACUGCUAUCCCAAGGCCGAAACCCGGGGUUCUCCUGCCCGGGCCGCGCUGGGGGUGGCCGGCACCCAGCUCACUGCUGGAGGCUGCCGAGCUGCUGCGCGAGCCCCGGCCCGGAGCUGGGCAGGGCCGUGCUCCCUGCCGUCCACAGAUUUCAGCAGCUGCUCUUGCUGCAACACUUCCUUUGGGUUUACAAAUCAGUUCGGGGGCAGACGGUGAAGUGAAACCCAGAGGGGAGCAGCCGGAGCGCAGCGCUGUGCGGGGGGGCAGGGAGAAAGGAGAGGGCACGGAGCUGCUGGGGCCCAGGGCGGCUGCUGCUUCUCACCAAGCACUCAGGGAGCCGCGGCCCCGCGGCCCUGGCACGCAGAGAUAAGCGCUCCAGACGUCCCAGAGAGCCCAAGGCCAGGAGCCGGCGCGGCGUGGUGUGCUCACAGAGCUCUGCUUUGCCUGCUGCUGUCUCGAGGCCCUGGCAGCCAUGCGAGAGCCUGGGCAGCGUGACGCCGUGGGCAGCGCGAUGCCGUGGGCUGCGCUCCUGCCAUCGGAGGAUUCGCGACCCGCAGGCAGCAAGUCAGCUCCGGGCUGUGUCAGCGAGCCGCCGGCCACCCCGCGCCCGCACUGCUGGGCGCCGCCGCGAGCUCACAGAAGAGGAAUGGCGUGUCACAGGGCAGGGCAGGGGCUGGCUGAACUCCGCGGCGGAAGGCAGGCGUCCCAAAAGCAUCAUGUGAGCUGUCUCCGUGGCCGGAUUGCCAGAGAAGUUGAUCACGCAGUCUGGCAGGCGUGCAGGCCACCGAGGGGAUAGGGAUGAAAGAAAAACACCGCGUGGGCAUGCGAGCCUCAGGGGAACCACGUGGCAGCCCGGAGAGAAAACAAAUGCAAAACAGCCACAGUCGUGCAGCAAUUAGGUGCCCUCGCUGCAGACGCUGUGCCGGCUGGUCAUCCAGAAGCACGUCGUGCACCGCCUGGCCAUCGACGGCUUGGACCUGCCCCCGCCGCUGAAGCACUUCUGCAAACACGAGUGAGGUGCCUGCGCCCCGCA